GCUACUACCGAUUGAAUGGUUUAGUGAGGACUCCUGAUUGGCGCCGCCGCCCCGGCAACGGAGCAGCGGACUGCCGAAAAGUUGUUCAAACUUGAUCAUUUAGAGGAAGUAAAAGUCGUAACAAGGUUUCUGUAGGUGAACCUGCAGAAUCA
rnacentral:misc_RNA from 1 species